GAUACGAUCUCAGAUUUACAAUAGGGUAUUGUACAUUCACGAGUAGUAAUAUGGUGUCUUGGAACAGUGAGAAGCAUAUUGUAGUUGCCAAAUCUAGUGUUGAGUCAGAAUAUCUGAGUUAUGGCUCAUGCUACCUACAACUCAAUCUGGUUGAAACAAGGACUUCAUGAGUUGCUUUUCCAUAAUCACUACCCAUGAAUUUAUUAUGUCUUGCCAAGUUACGAUUAAUAUAGCUUUCAACCAAUUUGAAACUAAACUGAUUGAGGUUGGUUGUGAUUUUACUCAAGCAAAGCUUCUAGAAU
rnacentral:lncRNA from 1 species